rnacentral:rRNA from 1 species
UUGGAAUAAUACCCCAUACGAUCAUUAAUCGGCAUCGAUUGAUGAAGAAAACUCCGGUGGUAGAAGAUGGGCAUGCGUCCUAUUAGUUAGUUGGUGAGGUAACGGCUCACCAAGACGUCGAUAGGUAGGGGUCCUGAGAGGGAGAUCCCCCACACUGGUACUGAGACACGGACCAGACUCCUACGGGAGGCAGCAGUGAGGAAUAUUGGACAAUGGAGGCAACUCUGAUCCAGCCAUGCCGCGUGCAGGAAGACGGCCCUAUGGGUUGUAAACUGCUUUUAUACAGGAAGAAUUGUACCUACGUGUAGGUAUUUGACGGUACUGUACGAAUAAGGAUCGG